GUUAAAAACGGUGUGUUGAAUAGCACACUACUUUUCACAGGUAAUUUUUAGUGUGUGUUAAUGUGCACACCUGUGCAUAUCUGUGUUCACUGACACUCAAUUGUGUGUAAUAGAACACUCAACUGCACAGUGUGUAACUGAACACUCCUGACAUUCAUCUAUGGACAAAAUUAGUUUAAGUACAAGGUGCUAAUGUUAAAGAAUUUUACUCAAUGACAUCGCUCUAAAAUCUCAUUGGUUAGUUUGUAGUUUUCUCACUUCACUGCCACAUGUUUCUCUUUGAAACUCAAGAGAACCAGCUUGGAGAAGUUGGAGCUAGCUGAAGCAACAACUUGAUCUAGUCUAGAUAUAUAAUGAUAUAAUAGUAUCUACCAGUUCUCCAAGGUCUUUUGGUCAAAGAGAGAUCAAUCCAGCACCCAAGGACGCGAGGACACGGGUGUAUCAAAGCAAGACAGCUGUACAUAUAGCCAGGAGUACUCAGUCCUGAUAAUAGCAGCCAUGGAGCUCGUCUACAUGUCUAUGCCAGUGAAUAAGAACCAAGAACAAUGUCAAUUCUUGAUGCUGAAGAAUGUGGAGACAAACAUGAAGAGCCCAUG